UGGAUAAUGGAAACAAACAUUAUACAAAUGAGAACACAUUUCAAUACUAGCACAAUAAAAUACAAAAUACAUUUACCUCUUAAAAUCCAUGAACAAAAUCUAUCGGCAAUCGAUAGAUAUACUUGUACAUGCCGCCAUAUUGAAUCUUAUUAAUACAAAAAGAUGAACUCAUUUUGGAAAAAGUCUGACAUUAAUGUUUGUUUCUGUGAAUUUCCCUUACAUUUAUCCACAAAUUCACCGACGCUUGCCAAGUGGGAAAAUCGGAAAGAUCAGGCAUACACC